UACAGAGGUCCCAAGCGUUGUUCGGAUUCACUGGGCGUAAAGGGUGCGUAGGUGGUAAGGUAAGUCGGAUGUGAAAGCUCGGAGCUCAACUCCGAAAUGGCAUUGGAAACUACCUUGCUAGAGGGUUGGAGGGGGGACUGGAAUACUUGGUGUAGCGGUGAAAUGCGCAGAUAUCAGGAAGAACACCCGUGGCGAAGGCGGCUCUCUGGGACGGUACUGACGCUGAGACGCGAAAGCGUGGGGAGCGAACAGG
rnacentral:rRNA from 1 species